UGCUAAGCUGUCCUUCCCUAUAUAGCCU
rnacentral:piRNA from 1 species